AGAGUCUUCACCAUCCUGAGGGGUAUGGAUCCGGUAAAUAGUGACUGUUGAACUCAACCCCAGAAUGCCAAUCCACGAAACCUGGAAAACAUUGCUUCAGGUCUAAUGACAAUUAAUGCCUGUACAAUGUUCUCAAGUCUUGAUAUAUAUACUGAGAACAUAUAAUGUGCCAGGCAUUAUACCAAGUUUAAAAAUGAAAAGGAGUUCCAGACACCAGGCAAAGCACGAAGGCCAACUAGGAAGAUCCUACAGAAAACAGAGAGGAAUUUUUCCUUACAACAGAACAGAGAAACAAAAUGCAAGUUUUGGACAAUACCACCAAAGAAACAAUCCAGAGAGAGGAAGCAGUUUCAGUAAACCAACAUAUCUGAAAAAUUAAUUUGGACAUAAAAUCAAAUUUCCUACUUCAGUCUCAUUGUAAUCAUCUGGUUACUCCAGGGAGAUCUUAAACUUCCUCUGGAUAAUCAUUUACAAAGUGCUGAAUGUAAUCGGUGGAGCAUAAAAAGCCAGAUCCUGUACUCCUGAACGUCUUCCCUGGAAAACUUCUUCCUGGGAUGUGGGCCCCCAGGCAACACCAUCGAGUUGAAGGGUUCUAUAACCGAAGGGACUUCUGGACCAGUGAGCUCAGCUCUUUGCCUAAGAGGGAGAAAAGGGAGCUCCACAGUCAUAGCUGGUCCACCAUGGUGCUGGUGCGCUGUCUUGGCCUCCUUCUCACAUGCCAGUGCUCUUCCUAUCCUGACCUCCAUAGAGGGACCUUUUCUCCUUGGAACUACCUGAGGUUCAGGUAGGUCCCCCCAGCUGAGCAGAAUACUAAAUAAGGCCGCAAAGAUGAGGAUGAAAGCCUGCAGGUUCAGGAUGGUGGGAAAGAUGGCAUUGGAACAAACGGUAACAUCUAGCAAGCAGUUUGCAUCGACUCUGCACGACAACCAAAAUAUGCUGUGUUGUCCAAAUGAAAAUUCUCCAAAAUAAUGACAUCAAGAUCAAACCAAGAUAAAGAGCUGGCAUCAUUAUACUUGACAGGCAUAUACAGUACUUAUGCUGAAAUUGAAAUGAUCAAAACUAACCUCAUGGAAAAAUGUAAGCACCCAAAGGUUGUAAGAAAAGUCAUACAAAUCAAAUUUAUAAAGCAAAUAAAUCAAA
rnacentral:lncRNA from 1 species